UACGUAGGGUGCAAGCGUUGUCCGGAAUUAUUGGGCGUAAAGAGCUCGUAGGCGGUCUGUCGCGUCUGCUGUGAAAACUCAGGGCUUAACCCUGAGCUUGCAGUGGGUACGGGCAGACUAGAGUGCGGUAGGGGAGACUGGAAUUCCUGGUGUAGCGGUGAAAUGCGCAGAUAUCAGGAGGAACACUGGUGGCGAAGGCGGGUCUCUGGGCAGUAACUGACGCUGAGGAGCGAAAGCAUGGGGAGCGAACAGG
rnacentral:rRNA from 1 species